GCUCCCCGCCCAGUGCUGGAAAAAGGUAAGUUUUUACCCUUUUCCCCUUUCCAGAGCCGGGCGGGAGUGGGGGCACCCUCAGGGCACUAUAGUGCCAGGAAAACGAGUAUGUUUUCCUGGCACUAUAAUGGUCCUUUAAUUAAAUAGAACUUGCAAUAAAGAAAGCCUAAAUGGGGCUCUCUUUACAGGAAGUGUUUAUGGAAGGCUGUGCAAGUCACAUGCAGGGAGGUAUGACUAGGGUUCAUAAACAAAGGGAUUUAACUCCUAAAUGGCAGAGGAUUGAGCAGUGAGGCUGCAGGGGCAUGAUCUAUACACCAAAACUGCUUCAUUAAGCUAAAGUUGUUCAGGUGACUAUAGUGUCCCUUUAAGAAACCCUAGCAUUAGGAGUACAAACACUCUGCUCACGCUAUAGUGUUCUUCUCCCUUUUUCUAAAUUCAGGAAUCUCCUAAAUGCAAUUUAAACAAAAUAAAAUAGUUUUAAUUUUUUUUCCCAACGUCAAAUCACCUAUUUUUGUUCCUAUAUUGCGUCUGUGAAUACUAUGUAAUAUUGUGUGAACUUUGAGUAAACUGUGUAUUGAAGAAAGGGUAAAAAAAAAAAAAAAAGAGCAGCAGGUGUUUGAGAAUUUACUAAGAAUAUCUUUAGCUUAAACAGAUGUAGUCUGUGUGUAGAAUGAUCCUACAGUAAACUGUGGACGUCUCCAAUAUAAUCACAGUUCUCUGACCCCGAUGCACUUCGCCGGAAACUAUUUCAUGUUGUUGAGUGACAUAUGGGCACAAGUACACUUAUAUUAAUCAUUGCAGACUAAUUAAAAUAUAUUGUAAUUAAUCUUGGCUGGGAUAAAAUCUGAAUAUGGAAUUUAGAUUGGGAUAUAUAUGAGCUAUGUCACUAUGAGCAAUUCGAAAGCAUUUUGUAUUCUGAAUAUAUGACGAUAUUCUGAUCGGAAAUGCCCUAGUUAAGAUCUAAUAUAUGAAUUGGAUGCUUCAGGUAGCACACAUCUGUCUGGUAGGCAACUGUGAUCAAGGACCUGCGAGGGAGGGCAUACAUUUCCCCAACCGGCUUAUUUUCACUUACUUAUUCUGGUGCCAAGAGAAUAGGUGAAUUGUUAGUGUAGGACUCAGCAAGAGGUUUGUCUUACUGGGUAGGAGAGCUUACAAUUUAAUGAACGUUGGAGUGAAACUAAAAACCUCCUGUUAUUUAAAUGGGCAUAGGCAGAAGGCACUGGUAACCUCUACUUAAUGUAUUUAUUUGCUGUUUGCUUUCUACUGAUUUUAUUAAUAAUACUCCGUUAAUUGAGAAAUCACAACGUUUUCAUUAAAAAAAG